rnacentral:ncRNA from 2 species
UAAAAAGCAUUUUGCUUUGCUCAUAUAAUCCCGGUAAUACGGUCUGGGAGUUUCUACAGGAAAGCCGUAAAAUUUCCUACUAUGAGCAAAACUUCUUGAAAA